AUGGCGACGUCAGCUGGAUCGUCUCUUCGGCUCUUCGUGCUGUUCGCGGUCGCGACGUGCCUGCUCUGGAGCACGGCCUCCGGCUUCUCGGCGUCCGGCGUCAGCAGGGCCUUCGCCACCUUCUACGGCGGCAGCGACGCCUCGGGAACCAUGGGUGGGGCGUGCGGGUACGGGAACCUGUACUCGACGGGGUACGGCACGAGCACGGCGGCGCUGAGCACGGCGCUGUUCAACGACGGCGCGUCCUGCGGGCAGUGCUACCGGAUCAGGUGCGACUACGCGGCGGACCCGCGGUUCUGCAUCCGCGGCGCGUCGGUCACCAUCACGGCCACCAACCUCUGCCCGCCCAACUACGCGCUCCCCAACGACGACGGCGGCUGGUGCAACCCGCCGCGGCAGCACUUCGACAUGGCCGAGCCGGCAUGGCUCAACAUCGGCGUCUACCGCGGCGGCAUCGUGCCCGUGCUCUACCAGCGCGUGCCCUGCGCCAAGAAGGGCGGCGUCAGGUUCACCGUCAACGGCCACGACUACUUCGAGCUCGUGCUCGUCAGCAACGUCGGCGGCGUCGGGUCCAUCCGGUCCGUGUCCAUCAAGGGGUCGAGGACGGGGUGGAUGCCCAUGUCCAGGAACUGGGGGGUCAACUGGCAGUCCAACGCGCUGCUCAGCGGCCAGAGCCUCUCGUUCCAGGUCACCAGCACCGACGGCCAGACGCUCACCUUCCCCAACGCCGCGCCCGUCGGCUGGGGCUUCGGCCAGACCUUCGCCACCAACAAGCAGUUCUCUUAA
rnacentral:rRNA from 1 species